rnacentral:rRNA from 1 species
CUUUGAAAAAAUCAGAGUGUUUCAAGCAGGCAGUGCGCUCUUGCAUGGAUUAGCAUGGGAUAAUGAAAUAGGACUUUGGUGCUAUUUUGUUGGUUUCGAACACCGAAGUAAUGAUUAAAAGGGACAGUCAGGGGCACUCGUAUUCCGCCGAGAGAGGUGAAAUUCUCAGACCAGCGGAAGACGAACCACUGCGAAAGCAUUUGCCAGGGAUGUUUUCACUGAUCAAGAACGAAAGUUAGGGGAUCGAAGACGAUCAGAUACCGUCGUAGUCUUAACCAUAAACCAUACCGACUAGGGAUUGGAGGAUGUUCACAUAUCGACUCCUUCAGCACCUUACGGGAAACUAAAGUCUUUGGGUUCCGGGGGGAGUAUGGUCGCAAGGCUGAAACUUAAAGGAAUUGACGGAAGGGCACCACCAGGUGUGGAGCCUGCGGCUUAAUUUGACUCAACACGGGGAAACUUACCAGGUCCAGACAUUGUGAGGAUUGACAGAUUGAGAGCUCUUUCUUGAUUCGAUGGGUGGUGGUGCAUGGCCGUUCUUAGUUGGUGGAGUGAUUUGUCUGGUUAAUUCCGUUAACGAACGAGACCUUAGCCUGCUAAAUAGUGACGCGAACACUUCGUUCGCGGG